rnacentral:rRNA from 1 species
UACGAAGGGGGCUAGCGUUGUUCGGAUUUACUGGGCGUAAAGCGCACGUAGGCGGAUUGUUAAGUCAGGGGUGAAAUCCCAGAGCUCAACUCUGGAACUGCCUUUGAUACUGGGUAUCUUGAGUAUGGAAGAGGUAAGUGGAAUUGCGAGUGUAGAGGUGAAAUUCGUAGAUAUUCGCAGGAACACCAGUGGCGAAGGCGGCUUACUGGUCCAUAACUGACGCUGAGGUGCGAAAGCGUGGGGAGCAAACAGG